GAUACCCCUGUAGUCCUGGCCGUAAACGAUGAACACUAGGUGUCGGGGGAAUCGACCCCCUCGGUGUCGUAGCCAACGCGUUAAGUGUUCCGCCUGGGGAGUACGCACGCAAGUGUGAAACUCAAAGGAAUUGACGGGGGCCCGCACAAGCGGUGGAGUAUGUGGUUUAAUUCGAUGCAACGCGAAGAACCUUACCAGGGUUUGACAUCCUGCGAAUCCCUUGGAAACUUGGGAGUGCCUUCGGGAGCGCAGUGACAGAUGGUGCAUGGCUGUCGUCAGCUCGUGUCGUGAGAUGUUGGGUUAAGUCCCGCAACGAGCGCAACCCACGUCUUUAGUUGCCAGCAUUUAGUUGGGCACUCUAGAGAGACUGCCGGUGAUAAACCGGAGGAAGGUGUGGAUGACGUCAAGUCAUCAUGCCCCUUACAUCCUGGGCUACACACGUACUACAAUGCUACGGACAAAGGGCAGCAAACUCGCGAGAGCUAGCAAAUCCCAUAAACCGUGGCUCAGUUCAGAUCGUAGGCUGCAACUCGCCUACGUGAAGGAGGAAUCGCUAGUAAUCGCAGGUCAGCAUACUGCGGUGAAUACGUUCCCGGGCCUUGUACACACCGCCCGUCACACCAUGGAAGUUGGCCACGCCCGAAGUCGUUACUCCAACCCUUGUGGAGGAGGAUGCCGAAGGUGGGGCUGAUGACUGGGGUGAAGUCGUAACAAGGUAGCCGUACCGGAAGGUGC
rnacentral:rRNA from 1 species